rnacentral:rRNA from 1 species
CAGCCGUAAACUAUGCGCGUUAGGUGUAUCGGUGACCACGAGUUACCGAGGUGCCGAAGGGAAACCGUGAAACGUGCCGCCUGGGAAGUACGGUCGCAAGGCUGAAACUUAAAGGAAUUGGCGGGGGGAGGCACCACAACAGGUGGAGCCUGCGGUUUAAUUGGACUCAACGCCGGGAAGCUCACCGGAUAAGACAGCGGAAUGAUUGCCGGGCUGAAGACUCUGCAUGACUAGCUGAGAGGAGGUGCAUGGCGUCAGUGACU